ACGGCGCACGGGUGGGAAACACGUGGGCAAUCUGCCCUCGGAUGGGGGAUAACCCCGCGAAAGCGGGGCUAAUACCGCAUGACAUUCCGGAGACCCCGGUCUCUGGAUUCAAAGGCCGCAAGGCCGUCUGAGGAGGAGCCCGCGCCCGAUUAGCUUGUUGGCGAGGUAACGGCUCACCAAGGCUCUGAUCGGUAGCCGGUCUGAGAGGAUGGCCGGCCACACUGGAACUGAGACACGGUCCAGACUCCUACGGGAGGCAGCAGUGGGGAAUCUUGCGCAAUGGGCGAAAGCCUGACGCAGCGACGCCGCGUGGGGGAUGAAGCUUCUCGGAGUGUAAACCCCUUUCGACCCGGACGAAUGGCCCGCAAGGGACGUGACGGUACGGGUAGAAGAAGCCCCGGCUAACUACGUGCCAGCAGCCGCGGUAAUACGUAGGGGGCCAGCGUUGCUCGGAAUUACUGGGCGUAAAGGGUUCGUAGGCGGUGCGGCAAGUUGGGAGUGAAAUCUCUGGGCUUAACUCACAGGCUGCUUUCAA
rnacentral:rRNA from 1 species